UACGGGGGGGGCAAGCGUUGUUCGGAAUUACUGGGCGUAAAGGGCUCGUAGGCGGCCAACUAAGUCAGACGUGAAAUCCCCAGGCUCAACCUGGGAACUGCGUCUGAUACUGGUUGGCUUGAAUCCGGGAGAGGGAUGCAGAAUUCCAGGUGUAGCGGUGAAAUGCGUAGAUAUCUGGAGGAAUACCGGUGGCGAAGGCGGCAUCCUGGACCGGCAUUGACGCUGAGGAGCGAAAAGCUAGGGGAGCAAACGGG
rnacentral:rRNA from 1 species